rnacentral:rRNA from 1 species
CACACGACUCUCGGCAACGGAUAUCUCGGCUCUCGCAUCGAUGAAGAACGUAGCAAAAUGCGAUACCUGGUGUGAAUUGCAGAAUCCCGCGAACCAUCGAGUUUUUGAACGCAAGUUGCGCCCGAGGCCUUCUGGCCAAGGGCACGUCUGCCUGGGCGUCACG